UAAAGCAGCCGGAUAAUCGCGUUGCGUAGCCGUGAGGCGAAACAAUGAGGAAAGUCCGUGCAUCCAAGGACAAAUCGCCGGGGAAACCCCGGACGGCGUGAGCCGGUGGAAAGUGCCACAGAAAAUAUACUGCCAAUCGGUUCGCCGGUUUGGUGAGGGUGCAACGGUGAGGUAAGAGCUCACCGGCAAUGCCGGGAGGCAUUGGCCAGGUAAACCCCGAUAGGAUGCAAGGUUUUGAAGGUUAAGGUUGUCCGCCGUCUUCAAAAAAACCGCUAGAGGCUGUAAGUAAUUACAGUCCCAGACAGAUGAUUAUCUAGAAACAGAACACGGCUUACGAACUGCUUUAUUUU
rnacentral:RNase_P_RNA from 1 species